rnacentral:tRNA from 1 species
GCCUUCGUGGUGUAGUGGCCAGCACGCUCGACGCGAAUUCGAGAGGUCCGUGGUUCGAGUCCCGGCGAGGGCA